GAUGAACGCUGGCGGCGUGCCUAAUACAUGCAAGUCGAGCGAACAGAUGAGGAGCUUGCUCCUCUGACGUUAGCGGCGGACGGGUGAGUAACACGUGGAUAACCUACCUAUAAGACUGGGAUAACUUCGGGAAACCGGAGCUAAUACCGGAUAAUAUAUUGAACCGCAUGGUUCAAUAGUGAAAGACGGUUUUGCUGUCACUUAUAGAUGUAUCCGCGCCGCAUUAGCUAGUUGGUAAGGUAACGGCUUACCAAGGCAACGAUGCGUAGCCGACCUGAGAGGGUGAUCGGCCACACUGGAACUGAGACACGGUCCAGACUCCUACGGGAGGCAGCAGUAGGGAAUCUUCCGCAAUGGGCGAAAGCCUGACGGAGCAACGCCGCGUGAGUGAUGAAGGUCUUCGGAUCGUAAAACUCUGUUAUUAGGGAUGAACAAAUGUGUAAGUAACUAUGCACGUCUUGACGGUACCUAAUCAGAAAGCCACGGCUAACUACGUG
rnacentral:rRNA from 1 species